CUCCUUGACGUUAGCGGCGGACGGGUGAGUAACACGUGGGUAACCUACCUAUAAGACUGGGAUAACUUCGGGAAACCGGAGCUAAUACCGGAUAAUAUUUCGAACCGCAUGGUUCGAUAGUGAAAGGUGGUUUUGCUAUCACUUAUAGAUGGACCCGCGCCGUAUUAGCUAGUUGGUAAGGUAACGGCUUACCAAGGCGACUAUACGUAGCCGACCUAAGAGGGUGAUCGGCCACACUGGAACUGAGACACGGUCCAGACUCCUACGGGAGGCAGCAGCU
rnacentral:rRNA from 1 species